CCUUAGGGUGCCUCCGAUGGUACCCAAAUCCAGUUUCUACUUUUUGCACCCGCCAUUGGAGAAAAUUGAAACUGGAUGCAGCCCAAAAAUCGAGGAAACUAGUUUCAUUUUUGCACCCAGUUUCCAGCCGACAAAUGUGGGGCCCUAUCUACUUUUUAAAUUUAUUUUUAAUAGCUUUCCUCUACUUUUUCGGUUUGCUUGCAUUUUUUUUCAGACUUUAUUUUUAUUUGCUUUCAUAUUUUUUUCGGUUAUUGCUUAUUCGCUUUUAUUGAUUGUUUUACUUAUUUUUAUGUAACGAUAACAUUUUUCCCUUAAAAAAAAU
rnacentral:lncRNA from 1 species